AGGCAGCAGUGGGGAAUAUUGCACAAUGGGGGAAACCCUGAUGCAGCCAUGCCGCGUGUGUGAAGAAGGCCUUCGGGUUGUAAAGCACUUUCAGCGAGGAGGAAAGGUUGGCGCCUAAUACGUGUCAACUGUGACGUUACUCGCAGAAGAAGCACCGGCUAACUCCGUGCCAGCAGCCGCGGUAAUACGGAGGGUGCAAGCGUUAAUCGGAAUUACUGGGCGUAAAGCGCACGCAGGCGGUUGGAUAAGUUAGAU
rnacentral:rRNA from 1 species